rnacentral:rRNA from 1 species
AAGAGUGAAACUCAAAGGAAUUGACGGGGGCCCGCACAAGCGGAGGAACAUGUGGUUUAAUUCGAUGAUACGCGAGGAACCUUACCUAGGCUUAAAUGGGGAGUGACAGGCUUGGAAACAGGCCCUUCUUCGGACACUCUUCAAGGUGCUGCAUGGUUGUCGUCAGCUCGUGCCGUGAGGUGUCGGGUUAAGUCCCAUAACGAGCGCAACCCACGUCGUUAGUUGCCAGCGAGUCAUGUCGGGGACUCUAACGAGACUGCCGGUGUAAACCGUGAGGAAGGUGUGGAUGACGUCAAAUCAGCACGGCCCUUACGCCUAGGGCUACACACGUGUUACAAUGGACGGUACAAAGGGCAGCUACUAGGUGACUAGAUGCUAAUCUCUAAAGCCGUUCACAGUUCGGAUUGAAGUCUGCAACCCGACUUCAUGAAGCUGGAUUCGCUAGUAAUCGCAUAUCAGCCACGAUGCGGUGAAUACGUUCCCGGGCCUUGUACACACCGCCCGUCAAACAAUGGAAGCUGGGGGUACCUGAAGUAUGUAACCGCAAGGAGCGUCCUAGGGUAAAACCGGUAACUGGUGUUAAGUCGUAACAAGGUAACC